rnacentral:misc_RNA from 1 species
GAACAUCGACCUUUGAACGCAAUGGCGGCCCUCGGUCUUUGCACCUUGGGCCACUCCUGGCUGAGGGUCGGUUUAAAGAAACGAUUACCAGACUGCCCAAGCGACAGCACACACCUCGUGUGUGUUGGAGCGGGCGAGCUUGGGGUUCUGCUCCCUUUGCGGAGUAGUUCCCUUAAAUGCCUUGAGGCAGAGGCUUCUCUCAGUCUUACUGAUUAUAAGGAAAUCAGUUCGUCGCAAGAUGAACCCUGAUGGACUUGGUCGGUUCGACACGAAAAAGCACGCAAACUUGAGAGUACGUCUCUUUGCCUCACGCAUUCUACAAUCAAANGUUCAGUUGAAAACAAGUAGUUGGGCGUGAAGACCCCAGCGAACGGGUGCAGUACAGGACUCGAAGCUCGUGCAUUUAGCGUGCGCCUGAGUGGAAUGUGUUGUGCUGCAUCACUGAAUAAAAACGAUUC